rnacentral:lncRNA from 1 species
CUGCAUCUCUAUCCUCAUUAUGAAGCUUCCAAUGGAUUUCGGUACUCAAUCUUACAUCGAAUCACUCUCAUCUAUACCCCGUUUGCAGUUCGUUGACAUCUCCGUUGACGAGAAAACUAUUGGUGGAUUCAUGUCAAAUAAGGAGACCUUCUUCAUAAACUUCAUUCAGAGUCAUAAACCAAAAGUAAAAGAUUUUUUGAAUAACUCCAGCUUUUCUAGAUCUAAUUCUCGUCUCGCAGGCUUCGUUCUCGACAUGUUCUGCACCCCUAUGAUAGACGUGGCCAAUGAAUUUUGUGUUCCUAGUUACAUUUUUCUUACCUCAAGUGCUGCUUUCCUUGCCCUAUGUUUUCAUUUUGAAUCUCUAAAAAAGGUACAUCAUAUUGACACCUCCAAAUACAAGCAUUCCAAUGAAGAAUUAAUAAUCCCGGGUUUUAAAAACCCAUAUCCUGCGAAAUUCUUGCCUACCAUGGCAACGGAUCAAGGGGUCAUGUAUGCCAUGUUCUUCGAUUUGGUUACUCGUUUCAAAGAGAUGAAGGGUAUUAUGGUCAACACCUUCGCCGAUCUAGAACCUUUUCCUCUUCAGUCUCUUUCAGUUCCGCGAAUUUAUCCAGUUGGUCCAGUGGUGAAUUUUAAGGAAGGAGGUCAUGGUCGAAACAGUCCAUCCGAAACAGAAAGCAUUAUCAAAUGGUUAGAUGAUCAGCCAGAGUCCUCUGUAGUGUUUUUGUGCUUCGGAAGUAUGGGAAGCUUUGAAAUCGAACAGAUCAAUGAAAUAGCAAUUGCACUUGAGUUUAGUGGUCAUAGAUUCUUAUGGUCCUUACGAAGACCACUACCAAAGGGGCAAAUCGGUCUUCCGAGUAAUUAUGAGAAUGUUGAGGAAGUGCUACCAGAAGGGUUUAUUGAAAGGACAAAUGAGGUUGGCAAAGUGAUAGGAUGGGCACCUCAAGUGGCAAUACUAUCUCAUCGAGCAGUUGGUGGAUUUGUAUCGCAUUGUGGAUGGAACUCUAUACUCGAAAGCUUGUAUUUUGGGGUACCAAUAGCCACUUGGCCUCUUUUUGCUGAACAACAAAUGAAUGCGUUUGCGUUGGUUAAAGAGUUGGGAGUGGGAGUGGAGAUUCGAAUGGACUAUUUCGUGGGGAAAUAUGAGCAUGUCGACAUUGUGACUGCCAAGGAAAUUGAAAGUGGCAUACGACUGUUGAUGGCUAAUGGCGAUGACAAUGAAAUAAGGAAAAAGGCGAAGGAGAUGAAAGAGAAAAGCAAUGCAGCUAUGAAGGAGGGUGGUUCAUCUUAUGCAUCUCUUGGGCUUCUAAUUGAGGAUCUCAUUAGUAACAUUUCUUGAUCAUUAGCCGGUAUAUUUGUUAUGAGACCAUGUGAUCAAUAACUAAUUAAUGAUUACCAACUUAUGUAUUACACUUUCACAGGUUAGAUAACCUGCUCUGAUGCUAAUGAUAUAUUACUUGUUAAAAUGGCAAAAAUAGAGAAGACCAAGUGUAUGGCUCUAGGCAUUAGUGGCUUCAUUAGUCAUGGCCGGUGGAACAAGAAAAUCGUUUUUGUAUAUAUAUAUUUGAGGUAUGGAGAAAAAAUGUCCUACUCUACCCCUAGUGUGUAUACAAUUUUGACUUCAAAUGUUGAAGGUUUGCCAAUUGGACAAGGACAAACAAGGGUAAAAAAUCUCCGACCAUUUAUUUUUAAGAUCAUUGAGUGUAAUUUCAUGAAUUUGAUAGAUCCAAUAAAUUGGUUGAUACUAUAAUUUGUCAAAAACUAGUGUUUGUGGUAAAAUCUAUGGCCUUCAAUUUCUCAUCUUUUUUCUCCAUUUUUUUUUAGUAUUUGUUGGUAAUUCUCCUCAUUUUAAUGCAAAUAUGCAAUUAUUAAAUAAUUAAUGUUUUCGGUUCUCUAAAAGUCAUUGUCUAAUUGCAUUUACCUUUUGGAAGAUACUCCCGUCGUUCAUUUUUAGAUUUUAUUUACAUUAAGAAACUAAGUAAGUUUACAAUUCUAUCCUUAUUUAAUGUUUUUUUGAAGUCAACUUUUCAAUAAAUGAUAAAUAUGCUAGAUUUCAAAAAUUAAAAUGCAUUUGGAUGACUAUUUAAAUUUUUAAGUUUGUUUUUUGAGCCAAAAUUUUCAGUAUGAAUUCUAUAUAUUUUGUGUGAAAAUAUUUCUUUUAUAAAUUCUAAAAGCAAACAUGACAACAUCACAAAAUAUUCAAACUUCAUUACUUCAAAUUGAUCUAAAUAUUUCUGUUGAAUAUGAUGUUAUUUAUAAAAAAAUUAGACGAGAAAUUCAUGAUCUUAAUAUAGUUGCAUAUAUGACUGUCGACAUGAAUUUUAGUUCUACUUCGACAAAGAAAAACAUGACAACAUAAGAUUUUAUAGAGUAGUGCAAUGGUGAGAGUAAUUAAUCAAUAUAUGAAGUAAUUACAAUGAACAUUAAUUACUUAUUAAUUUUCUUAGAUUGGUCAAAUAUCUAUUUUUAAGACUAAUUAACUAUCAAGAGUAUAAUAGGAAAAAUAUUGUAAUUUAUGCAUUGAUUUUAUGAAAUGACAAAUAUUAUGAUCAACUAUUUAUAGUAAUGAUGACAUUUAAAAAGGAACGGAGGGAGUAGUAAAUAACAUGUGUAUUGAUACUCCAUUUAUUGCAUAUUAGUUGACCACCUUACUAAAAAUACAUGUCCCAAAUUACUUGUGCACUAAUCAAAUUAAGAUAAAACCAAUUAGUAGUACCUCCCUAGACUAUGACCCAAAUUCCAGAGACACAUCUUAACUAAACUAAUGUCCUAUUACCCCCUAAACUCAUUUUUUUGUAAUUUUGUACACCUUUUUGGCUUACGUGGCAUCCAAAUAUCUCUCACGCGCCUCAGUUACGUGGAGUCACGAGGUGUGCCACAUAAACCAAAAGGUGUACAAUAUUAUAUAUAAAAUGAGUUUAAGGGGGUAAUAGGACCUUAGUUUAGUUAAGGUGUGUCUCUGAGAUUUCGGUCAUAGUAUAGGGGGGUACUUGUGCCUUAUCCCUUAAUUAAAUAAAAAAAUUGAACAUAAAUUGUAGUGUACUAGUCUUUAAUAUAAUCCUCCCACAUAGUACGAACAAUCUCCUCACAUUGAACUUGCAUUUCUCGAUCAUAUGACCGAGAAGACGAACCAACAUUGUUACUUUGAGUCAUUUGUUGGUCAAUAUCAUCCGCAACUAUAUUUUUAUGCUCAUAAACCAUAAAUAUUUCAUCACUCCUUUCAUAUUCUCGCAAAUAAUUAUGUAACACUGCACAAGCUAGCCAUUUUUCACUUGUGUGUCAAUAUCAUAAUGGUUCGUGCCUUGUAUCACUUGUGUGCAAUUACACAUUUUUAGUGCAUUAAUUUCAUGCUAAAAUCAAACAUAUUGGAAGUAGUGAUUAUCAAACAUACAUCACCAAUUUUGUCCUUUUUUCAUAUUAAAUUGCUUUAAACAUUUUCAUAUGUAGCUGAAAGAGAGGUUUUUUUUUUAUUAUGAAAAAACAAAAAAAAAGUGUCACUCCCUCCAUUCUUAUUUAUAUUCACCAAAUCAAUUCCUAAUUUAUCAUUUAUAUGCACCAAAUUUAAAGUAAUAAAUUUUAUGUUGGUGAGAAUAAUAAAUUUUAAAAAGUAACGAUGUGAUUAUAAAUUUUAUUUUCAUAUGAAAUAAAUGGUUAGUAGAUAUAAAUGUGGGGUUGUUGUAACAAAAUAUAAACUUGUGGGUCAAUUUUUGUAUUUGAAAAAUCUCAAAUCAUGAUAUGGAAUUCCCAAAUCAUGGUUUUUGGAGAAUAUGGGAUUCCAUCUCAUGAUAUGAAACCAUGAGAUGGAAUCAACAUGAAUCACAUGUCCAAACACUGAUUUCAUCUCACGAUUUCAUAUCAUGAUAUGAUAUCGUACUAGUCAUGUUUAAGUCCACAAAUCUUUUUCUGGUAAAACAGAAAUCAUUUAAUUUUGAAGUUUUAUAUAUAUGAAGUAAGCAGGAAACUACUCCAGACUAGUAUAUCAAGGAGAUAAUACAACUUUUUAUUGGACAUGAAUAAUAUAACUUUUUUUUUGGUUUUUCACUCGGUAUUUAGAGUCCAUAUUAGAGCUCCGACUAAAUCUCAAUGUAGGACUAAAUCUAAAUCACGCACUUUAUAACUACACGCAAAAUAAAGUAGUCAUUUCGACAUUAAAAAUAUGAAAUUUGGACAAAUGUAUAUUUGGAAAAGAAGAGUUUAAAAUAGUAUUUGGAAGUACUAAUUUGAAAAACUGCUGACCUAGGGUUUUUUCGGUGGCCCCUACAUAGGCAGCAAUUGCGUAGCUAUCAUGGCUGCUACGGCCACUGGACAGCCUCCUUUCGAGGCUGUCCAGUCAGCCCCACCACCACAUACAUCACCCUUUUCAAUUCCAAUACUUUAAAUUCUAAACAAUCUGCCAUAAUUAACAGAAAAACAAUUGUAAAAUCUAUCGAAAUAAUUCAUGGAGAACCUACUAUCACGUUUUCAAUGGAGGAAAGACAAGACUUUAUGAUCGAAGAGGGAUUACAUCAAGCAAUGGUGUUUAAAUUAUUCCAUGAUGUGCCAGAUUUGAAGGUAUUAAGGUCAAUUUUACCAAAACAUCUUGGUACCAAGGGCAAUUGUUUAAUUGGCUUACUUGCUUCAAGUGAAAUUUUGUUGAGAUUUGACCAAUAUGAAGAUUAUGUACUAGUUUUAUCUCGCUCAGUUAAUUAUAUUCUCUACAAUGGAGAGGAGCAUCAAUGUAGGAUUUUCCAUGGUCCAUUAGAUAUAAUCCUAAGGAGGAAACGACAUUAGCUGUGGUUUGGAUUUCUUUACCAAACUUAUCUCCGAAUUUAUUUGCAAAGAAGUCUUUGUUGUCUAUAGCAUCGGCAGUUGGAAAACCAAUAGAUAUAGAUGGAUAAAGCUACUCAAAUCAAGUCAAGAUCUAACACGGCUAGGGUCAAGGUUAUACUUGAUCUAAUGGAAAAGCUUCCAAAUCAUAUAAGGUUGCAGUUUGUGGAUGGAAAAUCUGGUAAGUUGAUCGAGAUUUUUCAAGAGACUGUAUAUGAUAAUCUACCUUUGUAUUGCAAUUAUUGUAAGCACCAAGGUCAUGAUGAAGAUAGUUGUCGUUUGAUCUCGAAAAGAAAUCAAAAUAACAAACAAAUUGAUGAUACCAUUGAAGUUGCUUUAAGAGGUACUAUCGAUAGUGAAAAGUAUCAAGGUGAUGUGAGAGAAAUACUAAAUGAAAAAAGAAAGAUUGUAGAUGUCGAUCAAAGUAAAGCUACUUCUUUAGAUCAACAAUUGGUUGCUGCCACUUCUGAGAAAAAUCGUGCAGACUCAAUGGAUGUUGAUACAAGUAAUAUAAAUUGAUGUUCAAACGACUACCGAAAACAAAGGGGGAACACCAAGAGUUGGAGUUGAUGCGCCGCGAGUUGGUUCAGGGCAAAAAUUAAUGGAUUCGGGACAAAAACUAAUGGAUACAUCUGAUGUUGAAGAUGCUGAAAAUUUCGGGCAGCAUGUUUUGCAAGUUGAAAAUGAGAAUGCAACUAAAAACUGGACACUGAUUGCACACAAAAAUUCAACUAGUAGUCAGAUCUUUUCUCCAACUAGUCAAAAUAAUUCUCCAUAUAGUGAAAAGGGUGCGUCUGGGAAUUUCCAUGACAGUGAGAAGAGGCAAGAUAUUAGUAAUGCCUCAAGAGACCUAUUGUAUUCGAAUAAUUUUGAUGCUUUAUUGAAGACUAUUGGAAAGCAAGUAAGGUUAACAGAGAAUGACAACGAUUUGAUCCAAGAAAAACAGGUCUCACCACCUGCUUUGAAUAGCAAAUUAAGUCCAGAAGCUCCCGUAUUUGUGCCUAUGUGUGUGAUUGCAAAGAAGAAUGAGUCACGGAUCUUAGCGUCAAAUACACCGGAUUUGGGCGAGGAUUCUCUUGAUGAAGAUGAAGAAGACAAUAUGCUAGACAUAUGCUUUGAUAGAGUAGCUAGGGAAGGGGAUAUAUCACCUAGGCAACAAAGAAGUGGAAGCAACAAAAGCAAAAAGAAGACACAUGGAAGGCAACAUAGUUGGGACGAUAAAAUGACUGAAGAGUUUGUUCCAAGGCACCUACUGAUGCGACAGACAAAACAAAACCACUUGACAAUAUCAAUAUGUUCAAUAAGAUCCAAUAAAUCCAUAAAGAACGUAUGAAUUAUUAAGUGUUAUUGGAUAGGUUUGAAGAAGAAGACAAGAGAAAAAUACUUUAUGUUACUUUUGAUGGGCAAUCAAUCUUAUUUAAUUCAUGCUUUUGUAAUAGAAAGUUUGAGACUGAUAACUCAACUUUCUUCUUGAUUGACAUAUUUUUACAUUAUUUAAGCAUCCUCAUUUGUAAUAUCAUCAUGUAGUGUAUUACAAACUCUGUGGUGAUUAGAAAAUACUUAGUUCUCUCUAACUCUUAUUUUCUUCGUGCUUGUUAGGUAGUAGAAGUUAGGUACUUCAUUAGAAUUAGUAAAGUAAGGUCUAGCUCCCCUUGCUUGUACUUAUUCCUAUUGAUAUAUUUUAUGUUUAAUAAAAGGUCGCUAUAUACUGUCUAGUGGUAAAUUUGCUUUUAAAAAAAAUAAUAUUUGGAAGUUAGAGUUGAGUUCGGAUAUAAAUACAAGUUAAAGUUAUUUUUGAAUUUUUAUGAGGGAUAUGAAGUUAAAACAACUUUUGAAAAUUCUCAAAUUUUUGUGCGACCUAAUUGAAUUUUUAAUGAUUUAAGCUUGAAAAUUGCUUGGAGCAGCCAUGACGUUUGGGCCAUUCGAGCAGACUAGUAAAAAAAAAAAAACUUUAAUUAAUGAGAUUUCAUUAAAAACUUGUUGGGCAAGAUACAAGUUUUGAGUUAAAAUAAUCACCAUUAACUAUAUAUAAUAUGAUAUAGCCUUGACCAAGAACAAAGUUUAUAAUUAGCUUUUAAUAAUGCUACAAAUUAUAUAUAAGGAAUAGUAGGAGUCACAAAUUUGUUCACAGAAAUUCAAUGACGACGAAAGCAGAGCUUGUUUUUAUCCCUUCUCCGGCAGCAGGUCAUCUCAUUUCCGCCGUUGAAAUUGCAAAACUCAUUCUCAACAGAGAUGAGAGGCUCUGCAUCUCUAUCCUCAUUAUGAAGCUUCCAAUGGAUUUCGGUAUUCAAUCUUACAUCGAAUCACUCUCAUCUAUACCCCGCUUGCAGUUCGUUGACAUUACUGUUGACGAGACAACUAUUGCUGGAUUCAUGUCAAAUAAGGAGACCUUCUUCAUGAACUUCAUUCAAAGUCAUAAACCAAAAGUAAAAGAUUUUUUGAAUAACUCCAGCUUUUCUAGAUCUAAUUCUCGUCUUGCUGGCUUCGUUCUCGACAUGUUCUGCACUCCUAUGAUAGACGUAGCCAAUGAAUUUUGU